rnacentral:rRNA from 1 species
GGAAUGGCGCGUGCACACUAUUACAGUCGAGCGGUAAGGCCCUUCGGGGUACACGAGCGGCGAACGGGUGAGUAACACGUGAGCAACCUGCCCCUGACUCCGGGAUAAGCCGGGGAAACCCGGUCUAAUACCGGAUAGGGACCCCCCUCCCCAGGGGGGGUUGGGAAAAGGUUUUUUCCGGUCAGGGAGGGGCUCGCGGCCUAUCAGCUUGUUGGUGGGGUGAAGGCCUACCAAGGCGAUUACGGGUAGCCGGCCUGAGAGGGCGACCGGCCACACUGGGACUGAGACACGGCCCAGACUCCUACGGGAGGCAGCAGUGGGGAAUAUUGCGCAAUGGGCGGAAGCCUGACGCAGCGACGCCGCGUGGGGGAUGACGGCCUUCGGGUUGUAAACCUCUUUUACCACCGACGCAGGCCCGCGCUUCUGUGCGGGUUGACGGUAGGUGGGGAAUAAGGACCGGCCAACUACGUGCCAGCAGCCGCGGUAAUACGUAGGGUCCGAGCGUUGUCCGGAAUUAUUGGGCGUAAAGAGCUCGUAGGUGGUGUGUCGCGUCUGCUGUGUAAGUCCGGGGCUUAACUCCGGUUUUGCAGUGGAUACGGGCAUGCUAGAGGUAGGCAGGGGAGACUGGAAUUCCUGGUGUAGCGGUGAAAUGCGCAGAUAUCAGGAGGAACACCGGUGGCGAAGGCGGGUCUCUGGGCCUUACCUGACGCUGAGGAGCGAAAGCGUGGGGAGCGAACAGGAUUAGAUACCCUGGUAGUCCACGCUGUAAACGUUGGGCGCUAGGUGUGGGGACCUUCCACGGUUUCCGUGCCGUAGCUAACGCAUUAAGCGCCCCGCCUGGGGAGUACGGCCGCAAGGCUAAAACUCAAAGGAAUUGACGGGGGCCCGCACAAGCGGCGGAGCAUGUUGCUUAAUUCGACGCAACGCGAAGAACCUUACCAAGGUUUGACAUGCCGGGAAAUCCUCCGGAGACGGGGGGUGCCUUCGGGCGUUCCGGCAC